UACGGAGGGUGCGAGCGUUGUCCGGAAUCAUUGGCGUAAAGGGCGCGUAGGUGGCCCGGUCAGUUCGUGGUGAAAGCGCGGGGCUCAACCCUGCGUCGGCCAUGAAUACUGCCGCGGCUGGAGCACUGUAGAGGCAGGCGGAAUUCCGGGUGUAGCGGUGGAAUGCGUAGAGAUCCGGAAGAACACCGGUGGCGAAGGCGGCCUGCUGGGCAGUUGCUGACACUGAGGCGCGACAGCGUGGGGAGCAACAGG
rnacentral:rRNA from 1 species